rnacentral:lncRNA from 1 species
AGUGCCCAUUCUAGUAGCAACAAAAUGAGGGGAAAGCAACUCAAGUGCCUCAUUAAAAUGGGGAAUGGUCUGCAAUUUCUAAACCACUCUUCCUUUCUUGUAUUCCUCUUUCAGGCAAAUAUGCAGCAUUCAUCUUUGUUGCCUCUCCAGGUGUGAGAGGCAGUGUAACAUCCAGGCUGUUUACAUAACUUGCGGAGUGUUUUACAAUGUACUCUGCAGACAAUUGCUCGGAUCCCUUUAUUGUCUUUUUAAAGAUGCCUAUACAGGCACUUUGCUUACAUGACUGAAUCCUCACUGUAGCAGUGGCUUUUUAUUCUUAAGUCUUAGAGAUGCAUUUAGAGUUACAUACAGACAUAUGGUGGAAAGGGGUCUUGAGUUGAUUUGGGGCAAAAGGCAACCGUCCCCAUGCACUAGAGAUGAAUCAUGCCUACCUCCCUUUGUCAUGGGAAGUGGCGGCCACUGCCACAUCUGCUAUGAGGCUCUUCGCCAUCGUUGGCUGCUGGAAAUUUGGAUACAGAGCUGUGUCUCUGCAUGGGUGAGAACUACAAAACCAGUCAGGAGGAAUUUGAUACGCCAAGUGGGCCAGCUCAUUAUAACUUCUAGGAAACCACAAGAUAAUUGUAGGGUUACUGCUGCUAGCACAGCUAAACUGGGAUCUCACCAGUCUGACAGGGCAACCUCCAAGAUUCACAACCCAGGAAAAGUACUGCUUUGCGCUCUAGGGACUUCUCCAUAAGAGGAUGACCUACUUGACCUAUUUUUGCAAGUAUCUUUUGCCAUUUUCCUACCCUCUGCUUCCCUACUCCCAUCAGACAUGUUAAUGGCUCAUAUCAUCUUCUCCUUUCAUCAGCCAAAAAAAAAAAAAAAACUCUCUUGGCUUCUCUUCUGAUUUCAGCCUGUCACUUGAUGAGGUCCCUGCUAUUUAUAUUUUUGUUUGUUAGAAGGGAGCGGGGGAAACAUAAAUAAAGCCCGGGCAAACCCAACCACCCUGCUGGAUAUGAAGGGACUCCCUCAUAUUGUGGCAGCAGGGCUGCCUAACUGGUAUUUAAGCAGGGACCAAGAGGUCCACACUGUGAAUGCCGUUGAAAGGGUUACUGGGAAAUGCAAACAAAAACAACAUGCAAAUGAGGCUGCCAGCAACAGUAAGAAUCUCUCUGUUCUGCAUAAAGAUGAUUCCUCUACCUGUACACCUCAUACCAGCCUCCUGUCUUAUCUGUCAUGCCCUUUGAUGUUUCCUUCUCUGUAGCCGACAGACAUUCUCUUCCAACCUAGAGAACCUACAGAAAUUACAGAAACCUUCCCUUGACUGGAUCUUUCUUAGCUAUAUACAGUCUUUCUCUUUUUUAUGUCGUCUGAAUUCUCAAAGACAGAAAUCUACACUUCCUCAACCCACUUUGGUCUUCCUUUGUCUCCAUCUUUGACUGAUAUUUUUUUCUAGUCAGUGUCACCAGGACUCCACAGUUGCUUAAUGCAAUGUAUAUUUUUCAGUCUUGAUCUUAUUGAGCCUCUUUCUUAGCAGUAUUUGAUACUUCAUGACUUCUCAGAAGCUCUACUCCCUUGACCUCUGUAAUCCUCGGCUCAGGGUUAGAGCAACUGUAAAAUAAUUAAUAAUCCUCUCAUAGAAAAAUUUGCUGGACUUUAAUGAUGCUUAAGUAAUCUAGGACUCAACCUGAGAUACUAUGAUACCAAGGUAGUGGCUAUCUAUGCAUUCACAGAGGAAUUGUGUCUAGCCCUAGGGUAUCCUGGGGCUAGACAGCUUUAGAAUUUUGUUUAGAUUGGAGGUUGAGAGCUAGAAGAUAAAGGUUUACAAAUUAGAACAGCAACAUUUUUUAAUCCACCUCCCAAUUAUACACAAAUCAUGAGUAUGCAUCAUAAGUAAAUGAUGCAUGCCAAGCAGUUCAUGAAAAGAGGUGUACCCACUAUUCUUACUCCAAAAUGAUCAAGUUUAGCCAUUGUGAUAAACAGUAUGGGCACCAUUCGUGUUUUUGCUUUUGAGUUUUUGUUUGUCAAGCCACAGCUAAUUAUACAAG